rnacentral:rRNA from 1 species
UACGAAGGGGGCUAGCGUUGCUCGGAAUCACUGGGCGUAAAGCGCACGUAGGCGGCUUUUUAAGUCAGGUGUGAAAUCCUGGAGCUCAACUCCAGAACUGCCUUUGAUACUGAGAAGCUUGAGUCCGGGAGAGGUGAGUGGAACUGCGAGUGUAGAGGUGAAAUUCGUAGAUAUUCGCAAGAACACCAGUGGCGAAGGCGGCUCACUGGCCCGGUACUGACGCUGAGGUGCGAAAGCGUGGGGAGCAAACAGG